rnacentral:tRNA from 1 species
GUCUGGGUGGCUCAGUUGGUUAAGCAUCCGACUUCAGCUUAGAUGGUUUGUGGGUUCAAGCCCCGCGUCAGGCU